AGAGUUGGCUUCUCAGCGGGUGUGUCACUGAGCGGGAAAAAUCUGUUAGAAACGCAGACGGGUUGGUGGUGACCUGUGGGCUGGGAUCUAGGACUAUGCUUUCUACGUACCGUCAGCCAGCCACCUGAGGCCCCAGCUGCGCGGGCUCUGCUGAAGAACUGCUACACAGAGCUACCCUCGCUGGGUAAGGGGCCUCAGCUAUCUGCUGGUUUUUCAACAGCGCGGAGCCGUGCCUCCAAUUCCGACACCCUCUCCUCCAAAGCUACAAAAAUGCUACAUUUAUUACAUAUACCAUUAUCACUACAGAAACAGAAAUAAGCUUGAUUUAAUCAAGACAAAGAAUAAUUUGGGCAAAACACAAAUAACAAAUUAUGAAAUCUCUAAAUCCAGAAUAAACAGAAAACAAAUCAAAAUCCUAUUACAUUCAUGUAUUGUUUUAGCUUAUAACAGCUUUUUGAUGGUUGACAUUUUAUAAAAAAAUUUGGUUCUUUAGGUCAAUCAAUGUGUGCAAUGCCAGCAAAGUGCACUGACAAUUAAGCAGGAGACAAAACCCAUCCCAAUUGAAGUAAGUGACAUACAUAUCAAAACACUACAAGAAGGAUAUUUUAUUAUCCCUGGUCAAAGUGCUAUUCUCUGUUUUCUUUUACUUUUUCAGGUGAGUCAACCAUUUGAGCUUGUUGGGAUGGACCUUAUGGGAAAGGUGGUUAAGACAGAGGCUGGGAACCAGUACAUUGCAGUCAUGGUUGACUAUUUUACAAAAUGGUCUGAAGCCUAUCCUUUACCGUCUAAAACGGCAGCAGAUGUUGCACAAUGCAUUUUGAAGUUCUUUUAUCGCUUUGGGGCGCUUUGGCAUGUCUGCUGUGUGGCCUGCUGCAGUGGAAUCCCUUUGUGUGACCCCGCACUUUUUUGUGACAUCAAUUACUGAAUGGGUUAUCAUUUUCUUUAGGUCGAAAACUCCCAGGACUGGAUUGGUAAAUUUGUCCACAUUGGCACAGUGGCUGGGAGCUUCUUUCAAUUAAUUUAGCAAGCAAAUGAUAAAAUGUUGGUUUUCAGAGCACUGUGCAAACUUGUGAGCGAGCGACCAGACACUUGGGACACCUACUUGGAUGCUGUGAUGUUUGGACUCAGAACCAAAAAACAAUACACAACAAAGUUUUCACCAUAUUUCCUCCUCUUUGGAACAGAGGCUCGUAUGCCAUGUGAGGUUCCAGAGAGCAUCCUGGUGAGACAUGAUUUUGUCUGUCUGUCUGUAUUACAUUCUACAUGCAGAGCCCUGUAGAUGUAAAGACAAUAUUUUAGGUCACGUUUAGUUUUGACUCUUGAUGGAAAUUUUUUAUAAAUGUACAAAUAAAACAUCACUAUCUCUGGUGGUAUUUUGUGAUAAGGUAACAUAUUACAUUAAUAACAGACAAAAGAAAUUGCAAUCAUAAUCUAAAUUUUUGUAAGAGACAUUUCCAAUAAUUCACAAUUAAUGUACCAAGUUCAUCCACCUGUUUUAUUUCCUUCUGCCCUAAAACACAUUAAAUGUUAUUCAAAUUUUUUGUGGUUAUGGAUAACCACCAUGUUUAAGGUUUUGGAAAAUAUUGGUCUGCCAGGUAUGUUUUCACAUCUGAAAUAUCCAAUAUUCGACAGUGGACACCUUAAGGUAUUUGAAAUCUGCUUAUAUAUGAGAAUCCCCCCCCCCCAACCUGCUGGGGACCUUGCUUCCUCCACUCAACCUGCUGGGGAUCCAGCCUCCACCCUUCAAGGUGUUGAAGCUGCUACGGAUCCUGCUGUGCCACCAUUUUCAGGGUCUACAAAAGUAGAGCAGGAUAUCCGGAAAGCCUGGGAUGGCAUGACAGCGGCUGUUCUUCUUUCUAAAGUUGGGCCUUAUAAGCUGUUUUACUUUGAUAUUUUCAGAACAGCACCAGGAAGGGAACUCGAGAGCGAGCUGAUCAAUGCCUACAUGAAAUAUUUGGAGAGAAAGCAUAAUACAUCCUCAGCAGAGAAAGUGCUGUGUAUCGACUCGUUUGGCAUGUCUGCUGUGUGGCAAAUAAAAAUUCCACGCUUCAAGUGGGAUCCAACAGACUACAGCACUCUGUAUGGCAUUGUUAAUGACAACCAUCACUGGUUUGUCAUUAUUAUAUUUCCAAAACAGAGAAAAUCUCUUCCUCUGGACUUACUUGGGGAAAGUAGUCAGAAGUUGAAGAGAUGUCAAGAAAUAUCAAGCUCUUGUGAAGAAACAGGGCAUGAAUGUGUCAAGGUGGGAGUGCAACACACAUCCACACCCCCCACAACCUGACUCCAGCUCUUGCGGCGUGUUUGCCAUAAAGAUGACUUGACAGAUAUCUGCUGCAUCUGUGGACAGAAAGACGAUCCCAAAGAGAAGAAGAGCAUCAUUUGGAUAUCCUGUGAUGUGUGCUUGAGGUGGUUUCACCAUGUUUGCUGUGGAUGUCCAAACACAUCAGCAGCUUUUAUUUGUAAGGCCUGUUGAGGGAAGAUGACUUGUUGAGGUUUUUCACAACUCUGCAAUUUGUUCAGUGUUUAUCUACAGGUGGAAUUACACCAAUUGUUGUUAUACUAUUAUUUAUUUUAAAUUUUAAAAAUAAGCACAUUGUAUUUAUGUUGAAUACUUAUCUUUAAUUGAAUGACCUAUGUUUAAACAACAUGUUCUUGAAGGUUUGACAGUAUAUUUUAAUUUUUAAGCCUAAAAACGAUUAUUCCUGUGGUAUUUUGUAAUGAGGUAUCUGUAAAUUUGUCUAGUUUUAAUUUUUGUCCAGCCAAUAUGUCUGUCU